rnacentral:rRNA from 1 species
CCUCGGGAGGCAGCAGUGAGGAAUAUUGGUCAAUGGGCGCAAGCCUGAACCAGCCAUGCCGCGUGCAGGAAGAAUGCCCUACGGGUUGUAAACUGCUUUUAUUUGGGAAUAAACCUUUCUACGUGUAGAAAGCUGAAGGUACCAAUUGAAUAAGCACCGGCUAACUCCGUGCCAGCAGCCGCGGUAAUACGGAGGGUGCAAGCGUUAUCCGGAAUCAUUGGGUUUAAAGGGUCCGCAGGCGGACCUAUAAGUCAGUGGUGAAAGCCUACAGCUUAACUGUAGAACUGCCAUUGAAACUGUAGGUCUUGAAUUCGGUCGAAGUGGGCGGAAUGUGUAGUGUAGCGGUGAAAUGCAUAGAUAUUACACAGAACACCGAUAGCGAAGGCAGCUCACUAGGCCUGGAUUGACGCUCAGGGACGAAAGCGUGGGGAUCAAACAGGAUUAGAUACCCUGGUAGUCCACGCCGUAAACUAUGAUUACUCGUUUUCGGCGAUAUACAGUCGGGAGACGUAAGACGAAGUAGAGUAAGUAAAGUACCGUACCGUACGGGGAGGUGGCGGAAGUCGUCGUUAGGUUAGGUAAACGUUAACGUUAAAGGAAGUUAGUUACGGCGUGAGACGUUGCCGACGGACGACGACGAGGGGAGGUUAGGAG